rnacentral:rRNA from 1 species
GACGAACGCUGGCGGCGUGCUUAACACAUGCAAGUCGAACGGAAAGGCCCUGCUUUUGUGGGUUGCUCGAGUGGCGAACGGGUGAGUAACACGUGAGUAACCUGCCCUUGACUUUGGGAUAACUUCAGGAAACUGGGGCUAAUACCGGAUAGGAGCUCCUGCUGCAUGUGGUGGGUUGGAAAGUUUCGGCGGUUGGGGAUGGACUCGCGGCUUAUCAGCUUGUUGGUGGGGUAGUGGCUUACCAAGGCUUUGACGGGUAGCCGGCCUGAGAGGGUGACCGGCCACAUUGGGACUGAGAUACGGCCCAGAAUCCUACGGGAGGCAGCAGUGGGGAAUAUUGCACAAUGGGCGGAAGCCUGAUGCAGCAACGCCGCGUGCGGGAUGACGGCCUUCGGGUUGUAAACCGCUUUCGCAUGUGACGAAGCGUGAGUGACGGUAAUGGGUAAAAAAGCACCGGCUAACUACGUG